GUGGGGAAUAUUGGACAAUGGGCGGAAGCCUGACCCAGCAACGCCGCGUGGGGGAUGAAGGUCUUCGGAUUGUAAACCCCUGUUGGGUGGGACGAACACUUCCAUGGUUAACAGCCAUGGAGACUGACGGUACCACCUGAGGAAGCCCCGGCUAACUCUGUGCCAGCAGCCGCGGUAAUACGGAGGGGGCUAGCGUUGUUCGGAAUUACUGGGCGUAAAGCGCACGUAGGCGGCUUUGUAAGUUAGAGGUGAAAGCCCGGAGCUCAACUCCGGAAUUGCCUUUAAGACUGCAUCGCUCGAAUCAUGGAGAGGUGAGUGGAAUUCCGAGUGUAGAGGUGAAAUUCGUAGAUAUUCGGAAGAACACCAGUGGCGAAGGCGACUCACUGGACAUGUAUUGACGCUGAGGUGCGAAAGCGUGGGGAGCAAA
rnacentral:rRNA from 1 species